UACGAGGGGGGCGAGCGUUGUUCGGAAUUAUUGGGCGUAAAGGGUGCGUAGGCGGUUUGGUAAGUCUCGUGUGAAAUCUACAGGCUCAACUUGUAGUCUGCACGAGAAACUGCCGGGCUUGAGUAUGGGAGAGGUGAGUGGAAUUCCUGGUGUAGCGGUGAAAUGCGUAGAGAUCGGAAGGAACACCAGUGGCGAAGGCGGCUACCUGGACAGAUACUGACACUGAGGCGCGAGAGCGUGGGGAGCAAACAGG
rnacentral:rRNA from 1 species